GACGAACGCUGGCGGCGUGCCUAAUACAUGCAAGUCGAACGGAAAGGCGAUGCUCUUGUGGCGUGCUCGAGUGGCGAACGGGUGAGUAAAACGUGUGUAACACGUCCUUGACUUUCGGAUAAAUUCAGGGAACUGCGGAUAUUAUCGGAUAGGAGCUCCUGCUGCACAGUGGUGGUUGGAAAGUUUCGGCGGUUGGGGAUGGUCUAGCGGCAUAUGCGCCUGUUUGUGUGGUAGUGGCUUACCAAGUCUUUGAAGGCUAGCCGGCCUGAGAGGUGGACCGGCGACAUUGGGACUGAGAGACGGCCCAGACGCCUACGGGAGGCAGCAGGGGGGAGUAUGGCGCAAUGGGCGGAAGCCAGAUGCAGCAACGCCGCGUGCGGGAUGACGGCCUUCGGGUUGUAAACCGCUUUGGCCUGUGACGAAGCGGGAGUGACGGUAAUGGGUAAAGAAGCACCGGCUAACUACGUG
rnacentral:rRNA from 1 species